CGAGUGAGCCACCCAGGCGCCCCUGCGCUGAUAACUUUCUAAUAAGACCUAGAUAUAAUCAAAUUUUCUUUGAGGAGAAAUGAGAAACUGUUUCUUGAAACAACACCAAAAUGUUGAGAAAUUUCAGCUCUAACCAAGACCUUCUGGCUCUUUAUCUCAAUUGAGAUAGACUCUAUGUUAAAGAACUCAAGAAAAUCGACAGGCACUUUUUACAAGUUAAGGGCAUACCUAGUUUAAACAAGUUACAGUAAUAAGCAGGGAGGGUGCUUAUUAGCAUUGGCAUGUAAUUAAUGAUACCAGGUAUAUUAGGAAGAUGCUAGGCAUCAGGAAGUUAUAGGCAUUCAUUUCCACAAGGCCACUCCAGAUCCACUUCAGUGUGGAGGCUUUUAAGAGCACUUCCAAUUCCAGUUAAAACACAGAAGAGGACUGAAGAAAAAAUAUUUUCACAGAGCCGGUGAAUUUAAAAGAAAUCUUCCACACGCAUAGCUGAUGCGCCACCUACUGCAAAACCGAGCUGACA